AAUGAACGCUGGCGGUAUGCCUAACACAUGCAAGUCGAACGGCAGCACCUUAAUAGCUUGCUAUUACGGUUGGCGACUGGCGAACGGCUGGUGAAUAAAUCGGACUCUACUUUUUCGUAGGGGAUAACGUAGGGAAACUUACGCUAAUACCGCCUACGACCUCAGGGUGAAAGCAGGGGAUCUUCGGACCUUGCGCGAUUGAAUGAGCCGAUGUAGGAUUAGCUAGUUGGCGGGGGAAAUGCCUCCCAAGGCGACGAUCCGUGACUGGUCUGAGAGGAUGAUGAGCCACACUGGAACUGAGACACGGUCCAGACUCCUACGGGAGGCAGAAGUGGGGAAUAUUGGACAAUGGGGGAAAGCCUGAUCCAGCCAUACCGCGUGGGUGAAGAAGGCCUUCGGGUUGUAAAGCCGUUUUGUUGGGAAAGAAAAGCAGCAGGUUAAUACCCCGCUGUUCUGACGGUACCCAAAGAAUAAGCACCGGCUAACUUCGUG
rnacentral:rRNA from 1 species